AUACGGAGGAUGCGAGCGUUAUCCGGAUUUAUUGGGUUUAAAGGGAGUGUAGGUGGACAGUUAAGUCAGUUGUGAAAGUUUGCGGCUCAACCGUAAAAUUGCAGUUGAUACUGGCUGUCUUGAGUUCAGUAGAUGGGCGGAAUUCGUGGUGUAGCGGUGAAAUGCUUAGAUAUCACGAAGAACUCCGAUUGCGAAGGCAGCUCACUGGACUGCAACUGACACUGAUGCUCGAAAGUGUGGGUAUCAAACAGGAUUAGAUACCCUGGUAGUCCACACAGUAAACGAUGAAUACUCGCUGUUUGCGAUAUACAGUAAGCGGCCAAGCGAAAGCAUUAAGUAUUCCACCUGGGGAGUACGCGCGCAAGUGUGAAACUUAAAGGAAUUGACGGGG
rnacentral:rRNA from 1 species